rnacentral:rRNA from 1 species
UACAGAGGGGGGCAAGCGUUGUUCGGAAUUACUGGGCGUAAAGGGCGCGUAGGCGGCCUGUUAAGUCGAACGUGAAAUCCCCGGGCUCAACCCGGGAACUGCGUCCGAUACUGGCAGGCUUGAAUCCGGGAGAGGGAUGCGGAAUUCCAGGUGUAGCGGUGAAAUGCGUAGAUAUCUGGAGGAACACCGGUGGCGAAGGCGGCAUCCUGGAC